GUAAAAAAAAAAAAAAGGAGGAAGAAUUAAGGAAAGAAAAGGAACAACAUGAGAAAGUAAAAGUAGAAUACAAAGAAUGUAAAUAGAGAGUAAGAAAAUAGAAAGUAAAGUCACUUGUGGCAGAGGCGUGGUGUGAAGGAGGCCUUAGUGUUAAUUGGUGGGCAGUGGUGGCGUGCUGAUCAGUGGGUAGCGGCGGGCAGUGGAAGCCUCGGUUCUUGUCGGUUAGGUUAGGUCAGGUUGGUGUCGUUAGUUAGGUUAGGUUGGUUUCGUUGUUAGGUUAGUUUCGCUGUUAGGUUGGUUUCGUUGUUAGGUUAGGUUGGUUUCAUUGGUUAGGUUAGGUUAGGUUAGUAGAACGGCCAACCACUGCACCAACCAGGCUGGAAGGAUGUCCAGCUGCUCUGCCAUAAGGCUUCGCCUUCACCCUCGUACCCUGCCCCUACUGCCUGGUCUUGCCUAUGUGAGGGUGCGUCAGCCUCAAAAUCCUAUUAAU